AGAAAUCGAGUCCGAAUAGGGCGAAUCAGUCGCUGGGUGUAGACCCGAAACCAAGUGAUCUAUCCAUGGCCAGGAUGAAGGUGCCGUAACAGGUACUGGAGGUCCGAACCCACAAAUGUUGAAAAAUUUGGGGAUGAGCUGUGGAUAGGGGUGAAAGGCUAAACAAACUUGGAGAUAGCUGGUUCUCUCCGAAAACUAUUUAGGUAGUGCCUCGUAUAUCAUUCUCGGGGGUAGAGCACUGUUAUGGCUAGGGGGUUCAUAAGAACUUACCAAACCAUUGCAAACUCCGAAUACUGAGAAAUGCAAUUACGGGAGACAGACCAUGGGUGCUAACGUCCGUGGUCAAGAGGGAAACAACCCAGACCGACAGCUAAGGUCCCAAAUGACGUGCUAAGUGGAAAACGAAGUGGGAAGGCAUAGACAGCCAGGAUGUUGGCUUAGAAGCAGCCAUCAUUUAAAGAAAGCGUAAUAGCUCACUGGUCGAGUCGUCCUGCGCGGAAGAUGUAACGGGGCUAAGCACGUAACCGAAGCUUCGGAUGCCAUAUUUAUAUGGCAUGGUAGGAGAGCGUUCUGUAGGCCUGUGAAGGUGUCUGGUAACGGAUGCUGGAGGUAUCAGAAGUGCGAAUGCUGACAUGAGUAGCGUUAAAGGGGGUGAAAAGCCCCCUCGCCGUAAGCGCAAGGUUUUCUACGCAACGUUCAUCGGCGUAGAGUGAGUCGGCCCCUAAGGCGAGGCAGAGAUGCGUAGCUGAUGGGAAACAGGUCAAUAUUCCUGUACCGAUGUGUAGUGCGAUGUGGGGACGGAGAAGGUUAGCUCAGCCAACUGUUGGAUAUGUUGGUUCAAGCCUGUAGUCGUGCCUGGUAGGCAAAUCCGCCGGGCUUAGAUGAGGGGUGAUAACGAGUCUGCUUGCAGACGAAGUGAGUGAUACCCUGCUUCCAGGAAAAGCCACUAAGCUUCAGCUACACACGACCGUACCGCAAACCGACACUGGUGCGCGAGAUGAGUAUUCUAAGGCGCUUGAGAGAACUCAGGAGAAGGAACUCGGCAAAUUGAUACCGUAACUUCGGGAGAAGGUAUGCCCCAAGUAGGUGAACUCGAACAGAGGGAGCCCAACGGGGUUGCAAAAAAUCGGUGGCUGCGACUGUUUAAUAAAAACACAGCACUCUGCAAACACGAAAGUGGACGUAUAGGGUGUGACGCCUGCCCGGUGCUGGAAGAUUAAAUGAUGGGGUGCAAGCUCUUGAUUGAAGUCCCAGUAAACGGCGGCCGUAACAAUAACGGUCCUAAGGUAGCGAAAUUCCUUGUCGGGUAAGUUCCGACCUGCACGAAUGGCGUAACGAUGGCCACACUGUCUCCUCCCGAGACUCAGCGAAGUUGAAAUGUUUGUGAUGAUGCAAUCUCCCCGCGGAAAGACGGAAAGACCCCAUGAACCUUUACUGUAGCUUUGUAUUGGACUUUGAACAGAUCUGUGUAGGAUAGGUGGGAGGCUUUGAAGUACGGUCGCUAGAUCGUAUGGAGCCAACGUUGAAAUACCACCCUGGUGUGUUUGAGGUUCUAACCUAGGUCCAUUAUCUGGAUCGGGGACAGUGCAUGGUAGGCAGUUUGACUGGGGCGGUCUCCUCCCAAAGUGUAACGGAGGAGUUCGAAGGUACGCUAGUUACGGUCGGACAUCGUGACGAUAGUGCAAUGGCAUAAGCGUGCUUAACUGCGAGACUGACAAGUCGAGCAGAUGCGAAAGCAGGACAUAGUGAUCCGGUGGUUCUGUAUGGAAGGGCCAUCGCUCAACGGA
rnacentral:rRNA from 1 species